rnacentral:rRNA from 1 species
AUCGCAAGACCUCUCGCUAUUGGAGCGGCCGAUGUCAGAUUAGCUAGUUGGUGGGGUAAAGGCCUACCAAGGCAACGAUCUGUAGUUGGUCUGAGAGGACGACCAGCCACACUGGGACUGAGACACGGCCCAGACUCCUACGGGAGGCAGCAGUGGGGAAUUUUGGACAAUGGGCGCAAGCCUGAUCCAGCAAUGCCGCGUGCAGGAAGAAGGCCUUCGGGUUGUAAACUGCUUUUGUCAGGGAAGAAAUCUUCUGGGUUAAUACCUCGGGAGGAUGACGGUACCUGAAGAAUAAGCACCGGCUAACUACGUG